rnacentral:rRNA from 1 species
AGUGAACGCUGGCGGUAGGCCUAACACAUGCAAGUCGAACGGCAGCACAGUAAGAGCUUGCUCUUACGGGUGGCGAGUGGCGGACGGGUGAGGAAUACAUCGGAAUCUACUUUUUCGUGGGGGAUAACGUAGGGAAACUUACGCUAAUACCGCAUACGACCUACGGGUGAAAGCAGGGGAUCUUCGGACCUUGCGCGAUUGAAUGAGCCGAUGUCGGAUUAGCUAGUUGGCGGGGUAAAGGCCCACCAAGGCGACGAUCCGUAGCUGGUCUGAGAGGAUGAUCAGCCACACUGGAACUGAGAAACGGUCCAGACUCCUACGGGAGGCAGCAGUGGGGAAUAUUGGACAAUGGGCGCAAGCCUGAUCCAGCCAUACCGCGUGGGUGAAGAAGGCCUUCGGGUUGUAAAGCCCUUUUGUUGGGAAAGAAAAGCAGCAGGUUAAUACCCCGCUGUUCUGACGGUACCCAAAGAAUAAGCACCGGCUAACUCCGUG